rnacentral:rRNA from 1 species
GAUUUGGUGGAUGGUGGUGCAUGGCCGUUCUUAGUUGGUGGAGUGAUUUGUCUGGUUAAUUCCGAUAACGAACGAGACUCUAGCCUAUUAAAUAACACACAGAAUCAUGUCUUCUGCGGUGUUUCUUAAUGGGAUCAAGUGUGUUUAACACUUUGAAACAGAGCAAUAACAGGUCUGUGAUGCCCUUAGAUGUUCGGGGCCGCACGCGCGCUACAUUGAAAGACAAAAUGAGCGUUUCUGGUUUUUAACAAAACUAGUAAUCUUUGAAUGUUUUUCUUAAUGGGGAUAGG